rnacentral:rRNA from 1 species
AGUGAACGCUGGCGGUAGGCCUAACACAUGCAAGUCGAACGGCAGCACACUAAGAGCUUGCUCUUACGGGUGGCGAGUGGCGGACGGGUCAGGAAUACAUCGGAAUCUACUUUUUCGUGGGGGAUAACGUAGGGAAACUUACGCUAAUACCGCAUACGACCUACGGGUGAAAGCAGGGGAUCUUCGGACCUUGCGCGAUUGAAUGAGCCGAUGUCGGAUUAGCUAGUUGGCGGGGUAAAGGCCCACCACGGCGACGAUCCGUAGCCGGGCUGAGAGGAUGUACCGCCACUCUGAGAGUGAGACACGACCCAGGGUCCUAGGGGAGGCAGAGAUGGGGAAUGUAGGCAAAAGGGGGGAAUCUUGCACAAUGCGUGCAAGGCUGAUGAAGAGACCCUGCGGGUGGUAAGGCCCUUUUGUGGGGAAAGAAAGCUAUCAGGUUAGAACCAGGGUGUGCGACGGGACCCCAAGAAGAAGGAACGGCUAACUUUGGU